AUAAAAAGAAUAUGUUCCUCUCCCCUUAUAAAA
rnacentral:sRNA from 1 species